GACGAACGCUGGCGGCGUGCUUAACACAUGCAAGUCGAGCGGUAAGGCCCUUUCGGGGGUACACGAGCGGCGAACGGGUGAGUAACACGUGGGUGACCUGCCCUCAGCUCUGGGAUAAGCCUGGGAAACUGGGUCUAAUACUGGAUAUGACUCCACGGUGCAUGUCGUGGGGUGGAAAGCCUUGUGCGGCUGAGGAUGGGCCCGCGGCCUAUCAGCUUGUUGGUGGGGGAUGGCCUACCAAGGCGACGACGGGUAGCCGGCCUGAGAGGGCGACCGGCCACACUGGGACUGAGACACGGCCCAGACUCCUACGGGAGGCAGCAGUGGGGAAUCUUGCGCAAUGGGCGAAAGCCUGACGCAGCGACGCCGCGUGAGGGA
rnacentral:rRNA from 1 species